GCUACGGAAGAAGUGACUAUGGGAAUAAGGGGAAAUUUAUGCAUGAGUCAAUGGGUAACCCACAGACCAUCUUCCUUUCACUAUGGAAUACUUCUUUCUUGUCUGAUGAAGUGACAUCUGGUUAGUAUAUUUGCCUGAUUAUUUAGUUCUCUGCAUCACUUGGAGCAAUGUAAUCUCUCUAAUUGGUACACAGAAUUUUUUCCAGUAUGGUUAAAGUAGCAGAUUCUGUGUUUAGCUUCUUUCAUGGUUGUUUUUGCUAUCAGCCCCAGAAAUCAUGCAAAAGAAAUGAUUUUGUCUAAUUUUGUUUUUAUGCAUUCACAGAGUCACCAUAUUAGCAGCCUUUGAAAUAAUAUUUAGGUCCACAUACAAAGGAAAUAAAAUGCCCUAAUUAAUUUUCUGCAUCACUGAGAUGGAGCUUCAGUCAAAUGGGGAAGGCAGACAUUGCGGAUGUCAGAGCAAGCCAUCCUAGAACCAAGCCUCCGGCAUUAUUUGGGAGCAAAAGACACUGUGAACGCGUUAACUUUGAAUGGUUCCCUGAACUGACCAAUUCGGUUUCCUGGUGCAUUGUAUUAGAUGUGUGGAUAUGCAUUCACAACUCUGGAUUCCCCUCUGAAAGCCAGGAUCCUUCAUGCUGAAGUCAGUGCUGCUUCUUAGGGUUCUAAAUCCCUGAAUUCAGUCUUAGUCAUGAGUUGCAAGAAUGCUAUCCAGCAUUGUAAGUAAGUCAGCAGCAUCCCCCAAAUAAGAUGAUAAAGCAGCUGUGUUGGCUCUAGAGCAGCUUAACUUUAAGCUUCUGAGUAUGAUGAAUUAUUGUUUAAGGAGAUGUAUUCAUAAUUCUGUUCCUUCCAAGCAGGUGGUUGAUAUUUUGAGAGCCCUGCUGUAUCAGCACUAUGUAUAUUUGGCACAGAAACUGCAUGAAUAUUAUAAAUUCUAUAUUUAAUUGGGUCUCAUAAAGAAAUCCUCUAAAUCAUAGUCAUCCCAUCAAACAAAACAGGAAAUUGACAUGGUGAGGUAUUCCAUAACAUUACCUCUUUUUUCCCCUAAAGGUUAAACAAAACUUUGUUAUUUCCUUAGAAGAAAAGAAAGAUGAGAGAGUCAAGUAUCUUUGAUGUAGUCCUAUUUAUCUGAAAGUAACAUAAAAUCCUAAUUGUUAGCACAGAAAUCAAGUAAUGUGAGAAAGUACUUUUAUAUACAACACCAAGCCUCCCUGAGCCAGCACUCAGCCAAAAAAAGCUCUCUGUUUAGGCUCUCAGCGAGACCACAAUGCCACUAUUCAUUCAGGUUGCAUCCUAUCUUUCCAGCUUGUUUCUAUCUUCCUUGAAAUAUUUCUGUAUCUCUGUCUCAUAUAUUUUGGGCAUAAAAUAUCACAGUAUCAUUUGCUAUACAUUAGGUGGUAAUACUACUUCACUGACAUUUGUGAAUGUUAGGUGGCAUUGUAUGGUGGGGGGUGAGAGUUGCUGUUGUUUCAACAUACUGGGGCUGCAAAAAUCCUAAUGUGUUCUUCUUUUCCUGAAUGAGAGUUCUUUCCAUAGAACUACGAGGCUAUGAUAAAUGGACUAAGUCAUAAUAAAUAGUAGAGAGACAGUUUAAACGUGUGUGAGUGAGCCUUACCUAAUAAAUAAGGGUAAAAUACACAUACCAAUGCAAGUAAACGGAGAUUUAUAUUUAGUUUCCUUAAGUGGUGUUGAAUCUGUACAUGACUGAAAGUGCUUUCAUUGUUAAUGUAUUGAGUUCUCCAUACCAUUUGGUUCAUGUGAAGUACUAUUUGCGCCUAUUUUAUCUAUAGUACAUCUAUUACAUCUAAUCAAACCAGAGGCACGAGAUUUGUACUAAAGGAAUGCAGUUCCUUAUUCAGCUGUAUCUGGAAAACUGAAUAAAGGGAGUGGGGGUUGA